rnacentral:rRNA from 1 species
AUUGAACGCUGGCGGCAGGCCUAACACAUGCAAGUCGAGCGGAUGAAGGGAGCUUGCUCCUGGAUUCAGCGGCGGACGGGUGAGUAAUGCCUAGGAAUCUGCCUGGUAGUGGGGGAUAACGUCCGGAAACGGGCGCUAAUACCGCAUACGUCCUGAGGGAGAAAGUGGGGGAUCUUCGGACCUCACGCUAUCAGAUGAGCCUAGGUCGGAUUAGCUAGUUGGUGGGGUAAAGGCCUACCAAGGCGACGAUCCGUAACUGGUCUGAGAGGAUGAUCCGUCACACUGGAACUGAGACACGGUCCAGACUCCUACGGGAGGCAGCAGUGGGGAAUAUUGGACAAUGGGCGAAAGCCUGAUCCAGCCAUGCCGCGUGUGUGAAGAAGGUCUUCGGAUUGUAAAGCACUUUAAGUUGGGAGGAAGGGCAGUAAGUUAAUACCUUGCUGUUUUGACGUUACCAACAGAAUAAGCACCGGCUAACUUCGUG